rnacentral:lncRNA from 1 species
CAACACUGAGCAACAUUAUUCCCUCUGGAGAGAUGGAGCCCAGGCGUUGCUCCGCGGCCACUCGGAGACCUGGAGCCCACCUGCCCUGCCAUCCUCUCUACUAGGGGCCAGCCCCACCCCACAGCAGUGCAGGGGCAGCAGAAUCCAGGGUGCCUAUCUGGGAGCAGAAACAUUUGAAGAGGACCAUGAAGGAGAGGUAAAAUUUGGACUUGCCAAGGUGGGGGUAGGGAAGGGGAUUACAAAAGUACCUUUGCAAAACCAGAGCAAAAGUGAGGUGGUUCCUCCCAAGUGCGUUGGAGGGUUGGGGGUGCUGAGCCCUGGGGCCCCCUUUGUCCCCAUCCUAUCACCAGUUUUCCAGGAAGUUUGGAGUCUCCUCCUG